UACGGAGGGUGCAAGCGUUAUCCGGAUUCACUGGGUUUAAAGGGUGCGUAGGCGGAUGUGUAAGUCAGCGGUGAAAUCCCCGAGCUUAACUUGGGAACUGCCGUUGAUACUAUAUAUCUUGAAUGUCGUGGAGGUUAGCGGAAUAUGUCAUGUAGCGGUGAAAUGCUUAGAUAUGACAUAGAACACCCAUUGCGAAGGCAGCUAACUACGCGAAUAUUGACGCUGAGGCACGAAAGCGUGGGGAUCAAACAGG
rnacentral:rRNA from 1 species